AGGAUCAUUAUUGAACGAAAAGGGUGGCAAGGCUGUCGCUGGCUUGAAUGAGCAUGUGCACGUCUUUUGCUGCUGAUUUCAUUCUAUUUCCACCUGUGCACUUUUUGUAGACACUUGGGAAUGAGAGGUUGAAUUGAUUGACUUCUUGAUAGUGAAAAGUCUGGGUGUCUAUGCAUUUUUAUAUACACAGUUGCAUGUCUAUAGAAUGAUGUUGUAGGCUUUUUGUAAGCCUUUAAAUGAUAAAGUACAACUUUCAACAACGGAUCUCUUGGCUCUCGCAUCGAUGAAGAACGCAGCGAAAUGCGAUAAGUAAUGUGAAUUGCAGAAUUCAGUGAAUCAUCGAAUCUUUGAACGCAUCUUGCGCUCCUUGGUAUUCCGAGGAGCAUGCCUGUUUGAGUGUCAUUAAGUAUCUCAAAAGCUUAUGCCUAUUUUGUGGCAUGGGACUUUUGGACAAUGGGAGUUGCCGGUCACUGACAAAACGUGGCGGGCUCUUCUGAAAAGUAUUAGUUGAGGAGCUUUGCACUCUAUUGGUGUGAUAGAUUAUCUAUGCCAGGAGAUGCUUUAUGUAUGAUCCUCUGCUGUCUAACUGUCUUUAUUGGACAAACAUGAUGAACUUGACCUCAAAUCAGGUAGGACUACCCGCUGAACUUAAGCAUAUCAAUAAGCGGAGGAAAAGAAACUAACAAGGAUUCCCUUAGUAACUGCGAGUGAAGAGGGAAAAGCUCAAAUUUAAAAUCUGGCAGUGUUUCACUGUCCGAGUUGUAACCUAGAGAAGUGUAACCUGCACUGGACCGUGUACAAGUCUCCUGGAAUGGAGCAUCACAGAGGGUGAGAAUCCCGUCUUUGACAUGGACUGCCAGUGCAUUGUGGUUGUGCUCUCAACGAGUCGAGUUGUUUGGGAAUGCAGCUCUAAAUGGGUGGUAAAUUCCAUCUAAAGCUAAAUAUUGGCGAGAGACCGAUAGCGAACAAGUACCGUGAGGGAAAGAUGAAAAGAACUUUGGAAAGAGAGUUAAACAGUAUGUGAAAUUGUUGAAAGGGAAACGUUUGAAGUCAGUCGCAUUGGCUGGGGAUCAACCUGACUUUUUGUUAGGUGUACUUCCUGGUUGAUGGGUCAACAUCAGUUUUGACUGUCAGAAAAAGGUCAAGAGAAUGUGGCACCUUUGGGUGUGUUAUAGCUCUUGGUCGUAUAUGAUGGUUGGGACUGAGGAAAGCAGUGUGCCGAAAGGCCGGGUU
rnacentral:rRNA from 1 species